rnacentral:rRNA from 1 species
GGACGAACGCUGGCGGCGUGCUUAACACAUGCAAGUCGAACGGUAAGGCCCUUCGGGGUACACGAGUGGCGAACGGGUGAGUAACACGUGGGUGAUCUGCCCUGCACUUCGGGAUAAGCCUGGGAAACUGGGUCUAAUACCGGAUAGGACCAUGGACUUCACGGUUUGUGGUGGAAAGCUUUUGCGGUGUGGGAUGGGCCCGCGGCCUAUCAGCUUGUUGGUGGGGUAAUGGCCUACCAAGGCGACGACGGGUAGCCGGCCUGAGAGGGUGUCCGGCCACACUGGGACUGAGAUACGGCCCAGACUCCUACGGGAGGCAGCAGUGGGGAAUAUUGCACAAUGGGCGCAAGCCUGAUGCAGCGGCGCCGCGUGAGGGAUGACGGCCUUCGGGUUGUAAACCUCUUUCAAUAGGGACGAAGCGCAAGUGACGGUACCUAUAGAAGAAGCACCGGCCAACUACGUG